UACGAAGGGGGCUAGCGUUGCUCGGAAUCACUGGGCGUAAAGGGCGCGUAGGCGGCCAUUCAAGUCAGAGGUGAAAGCCCAAGGCUCAACCUUGGAACUGCCUUUGAUACUGUUUGGCUUGAGACCGGUAGAGGUAAGUGGAACUGCGAGUGUAGAGGUGAAAUUCGUAGAUAUUCGCAAGAACACCAGUGGCGAAGGCGGCUUACUGGACCGGUACUGACGCUGAGGUGCGAAAGCGUGGGGAGCAAACAGG
rnacentral:rRNA from 1 species